AUUGAACGCUGGCGGCAGGCCUAACACAUGCAAGUCGAACGAGUGGCGGACGGGUGAGUAAUAUCUGGGAACGUGCCUGAUGGCGGGGGAUAACUACUGGAAACGGUGGCUAAUACCGCAUACCAUCAGAUGUGCCCAGAUGGGAUUAGCUUGUUGGUGGGGUAAAGGCUCACCAAGGCGACGAUCCCUAGCUGGUCUGAGAGGAUGACCAGCCACACGGGAACUGAGACACGGCCCAGACUCCUACGGGAGGCAGCAGUGGGGAAUAUUGGACAAUGGGGGAAAGCCUGAUGCAGCCAUGCCGCGUGUAUGAAGAAGGCCUUCGGGUUGUAAAGUACUUUCAGCGGGGAGGCGGUACCCGCAGAAGAAGCACCGGCUAACUCCGUGCCAGCAGCCGCGGUAAUAC
rnacentral:rRNA from 1 species